rnacentral:lncRNA from 1 species
UGACUUCCGCCACCUGAGAUAUUACUCCAAAACUUCUCAACCUCCUUACCCAGAAAAUAUCCCAUAGGUGUCUCCAGGAUAGCAUCAGGAGUGGUCUGGAAACCCAGUAGGUCGCCAAACUCUUUCUGGAUGAAAGAGUACUCAACACCAAAGAGCCUGAAAGCAGCAUACCCAUCUGGUCCAGAGUAUGAGUCAUAGUCGAAUGAACUCA